rnacentral:lncRNA from 1 species
AAACAUGCGGAAAAUUAGUAGAAGCCUAUAGACAUGCUAUCUAAGUGAUUAACAUGCUAGUUGAUUAAUUACAUGCGACAAUAACCAAACAGGGUAGAUUUUAAAUAACAUGCUAGCAAUUAGUUGAUUACUUUUAAAAUAGGUGGAAAAGCAGUAGUUUAAAUGCAGGAAAUAUUAACAGUGAGCAGAAAACAAUCAUAAACUUGCUAAAAGCCUAUAGACAUGCAGUCUUAAGUGAUUGAUAUGCUGAAAUUUUAUUAGCAAAUUAAUUAGAAUUUGAUUUAUUAAAUG